CGCCCACCAAGGCUAUAGCCCACCCGUUUUUUGGCCAUUUUUCCGCUGGGGGGUCUUGGGACCCCGACCUUCGGGGGCUGAUUUUUGGGCGCGGCUGUGUCCGUGGCCUACUUUUGGCACACAGAGGCCGCCCGCCAAGUAUGGUGCCAUUCCGAGUCCCGCGGACGAACUUCGCCCACGCCGCCCACCAAGGCUAUAGCCCACCCGUUUUUUGGCCAUUUUUCCGCUGGGGGGUCUUGGGACCCCGACCUUCGGGGGCUGAUUUUUGGGCGCGGCUGUGCCCGUGGCCUAUUUUUGGCACACGGAGGCCGCCCGCCAAGUCAGGGGCCAUUCCGAGUCCCGCGGACGAAGUUCGCCCACGCCCCCCACCAAGGCUAUAGCCCACCCGUUUUUUGGCCAUUUUUCCGCUGGGGGGUCUUGGGACCCCGACCUUCGGGGGCUGAUUUUUGGGCGCGGCUGUGCCCGUGGCCUAUUUUUGGCACACGGAGGCCGCCCGCCAAGUCAGGGGCCAUUCCGAGUCCCGCGGACGAAGUUCGCCCACGCCCCCCACCACGGCUAUAGCCCACCCGUUUUUUGGCCAUUUUUCCACUGGGGGGUCUUGGGACCCCGACCUUCGGGGGCUGAUUUUUGGGCGCGGCUGUGCCCGUGGCCUAUUGUUGGCACACGGAGGCCGCCCGCCAAGUCAGGGGCCAUUCCGAGUCCCGCGGACGAACUUCGCCCACGCCCCCCACCAAGGCUAUAGCCCACCCGUUUUUUGGCCAUUUUUCCGCUGGGGGGUCUUGGGACCCCGACCUUCGGGGUCUGAUUUUUGGGCGCGGCUGUGCCCGUGGCCUAUUUUUGGCACACGGAGGCCGCCCGCCAAGUCAGGGGCCAUUCCGAGUCCCGUGGACGAAGUUCGCCCACGCCCCCCACCAAGGCUAUAGCCCACCCGUUUUUGGCCAUUUUCCGCUGGGGGAUCUUGGGACCCCGACCUUCGGGGGCUGAUUUUUGGGCGCGGCUGUGCCCGUGGCCUAUUUUUGGCACACGGAGGCCGCCCGCCAAGUAAGGUGCCAUUCCGAGUCCCGCGGACGAACUUCGCCCACGCCCCCCACCAAGGCUAUAGCCCACCCGUUUUUUGGCCAUUUUUCCGCUGGGGGGUCUUGGGACCCCGACCUUCGGGGGCUGAUUUUUGGGCGCGGCUGUGCCCGUGGCCUAUUUUUGGCACACGGAGGCCGCCCGCCAAGUAUGGUGCCAUUCCGAGUCCCGCGGACGAACUUCGCCCACGCCGCCCACCAAGGCUAUAGCCCACCCGUUUUUUGGCCAUUUUUCCGCUGGGGGGUCUUGGGACCCCGACCUUCGGGGGCUGAUUUUUGGGCGCGGCUGUGCCCGUGGCCUAUUUUUGGCACACGGAGGCCGCCCGCCAAGUCAGGUGCCAUUCCGAGUCCCGCGGACGAAGUUUGCCCACGCCCCCCACCAAGGCUAUAGCCCACCCGUUUUUUGGCCAUUUUUCCGCUGGGGGGUCUUGGGACCCCGACCUUCGGGGGCUGAUUUUUGGGCGCGGCUGUGCCCGUGGCCUAUUUUUGGCACACGGAGGCCGCCCGCCAAGUAUGGUGCCAUUCCGAGUCCCGCGGACGAACUUCGCCCACGCCGCCCACCAAGGCUAUAGCCCACCCGUUUUUUGGCCAUUUUUCCGCUGGGGGGUCUUGGGACCCCGACCUUCGGGGGCUGAUUUUUGGGCGCGGCUGUGCCCGUGGCCUAUUUUUGGUACCCGGAGGCCGCCCGCCAAGUCAGGGGCCAUUCCGAGUCCCGCGGACGAAGUUCGCCCACGCCCCCCACCAAGGCUAUAGCCCACCCGUUUUUUGGCCAUUUUUCCGCUGGGGGGUCUUGGGACCUCGACCUUCGGGGGCUGAUUUUUGGGCGCGGCUGUGCCCGUGUCCUAUUUUUGGCACACGGAGGCCGCCCGCCAAGUCAGGGGCCAUUCCGAGUCCCGCGGACGAAGUUCGCCCACGCCCCCCACCAAGGCUAUAGCCCACCCGUUUUUUGGCCAUUUUUCCGCUGGGGGGUCUUGGGACCCCGACCUUCGGGGGCUGAUUUUUGGGCGCGGCUGUGCCCGUGGCCUAUUUUUGGCACACAGAGGCCGCCCGCCAAGUAUGGUGCCAUUCCGAGUCCCGCGGACGAACUUCGCCCACGCCGCCCACCAAGGCUAUAGCCCACCCGUUUUUUGACCAUUUUUCCGCUGGGGGGUCUUGGGACCCCGACCUUCGGGGGCUGAUUUUUGGGCGCGGCUGUGCCCGUGGCCUAUUUUUGGUACCCGGAGGCCGUCCGCCAAGUCAGGGGCCAUUCCGAGUCCCGCGGACGAAGUUCGCCCACGCCCCCCACCAAGGCUAUAGCCCACCCGUUUUUUGGCCAUUUUUCCGCUGGGGGGUCUUGGGACCCCGACCUUUGGGGGCUGAUUUUUGGGCGCGGCUGUGCCCGUGGCCUAUUUUUGGCACACGGAGGCCGCCCGCCAAGUCAGGGGCCAUUCCGAGUCCCGCGGACGAAGUUCGCCCACGCCCCCCACCAAGGCUAUAGCCCACCCGUUUUUUGGCCAUUUUUCCGCUGGGGGGUCUUGGGACCCCGACCUUCGGGGGCUGAUUUUUGGGCGCGGCUGUGCCCGUGGCCUAUUUUUGGCACACAGAGGCCGCCCGCCAAGUAUGGUGCCAUUCCGAGUCCCGCGGACGAACUUCGCCCACGCCCCCCACCAAGGCUAUAGCCCCACCCGUUUUUUGGCCAUUUUUCCCGCUUGGGGGGGUCUUGGGACCCCGACCUUCGGGGGCUGAUUUUUGGGCGCGGCUGUGCCCGUGGCCUAUUUUUGGCACACGGAGACCGCCCGCCAAGUAUGGUGCCAUUCCGAGUCCCGCGGACGAACUUCGCCCACGCCCCCCACCAAGGCUAUAGCCCACCCGUUUUUUGGCCAUUUUUCCGCUGGGGGGUCUUGGGACCCCGACCUUCGGGGGCUGAUUUUUGGGCGCGGCUGUGCCCGUGGCCUAUUUUUGGCACACGGAGGCCGCCCGCCAAGUAUGGUGCCAUUCCGAGUCCCGCGGACGAACUUCGCCCACGCCGCCCACCAAGGCUAUAGCCCACCC
rnacentral:lncRNA from 1 species